AGGAAGAAGGAUGAGACGAAGGUUUUGGUAAACUGGGAUGGUGCAGAUUAAGGCUACGCAGGUGGUGGUGGUGCAUGGUUGAUGAUAAGAUGAAAUGGAUGGUGUAGAUUAAAUUGGAUUAAAAAUAAAAUUUAAAAUUCAAAAUGAAUUAUUAAUUAUCUAGUCAAAUAAAUCUACUUACAUGUGGCAGGUGAAACGAUUAUUUUU
rnacentral:lncRNA from 1 species